rnacentral:rRNA from 1 species
CCUACGGGAGGCAGCAGUGAGGAAUAUUGGUCAAUGGGCGCGAGCCUGAACCAGCCAAGUAGCGUGAAGGAUGACUGCCCUACGGGUUGUAAACUUCUUUUAUAAAGGAAUAAAGUGAGGCACGUGUGCCUUUUUGUAUGUACUUUAUGAAUAAGGAUCGGCUAACUCCGUGCCAGCAGCCGCGGUAAUACGGAGGAUCCGAGCGUUAUCCGGAUUUAUUGGGUUUAAAGGGAGCGUAGAUGGGUUGUUAAGUCAGUGGUAAAAAUGCGGUGCUCAACGCCGUCGAGCCGUUGAAACUGGCGUUCUUGAGUGGGCGAGAAGUAUGCGGAAUGCGUGGUGUAGCGGUGAAAUGCAUAGAUAUCACGCAGAACUCCGAUUGCGAAGGCAGCAUACCGGCGCCCUACUGACGCUGAGGCACGAAAGCGUGGGUAUCGAACAGGAUUAGAUACCCUAGUAGUC